rfam:Pan troglodytes isolate Yerkes chimp pedigree #C0471 (Clint) chromosome 18, whole genome shotgun sequence.
GCCGGGCGUGGUGAUGCGUGCCUGUAAUCCCAGCUACUCAGGAGGCUGAGGCAGGAGAAUUGCUUGAACCCAGGAGGCGGAGGUUGCAGUGAGCCGAGACUGCACCACUGCACUCUAGCCUGGGUGACAGAGCAAGACACUGUCUUCA